UGGUCUACUUCGUCCUGGUGUGUAAGUCCAAGUGUGUAAGUUCAUGUUUAAGCCCUUGCCCUUGAGAACUCCGGCGUGUGAGGGUCUCUCUCCCGAAGCUUUGGUACUGCCACCCGAAUCCCUGCUCCCAUCCUUCAGUGAGUGACUAAAGACAGGCGUGAUAACCUGACCAACUAGGGGAUUUGAAUGGAGAACAGAACUGCCAUUAGGGUCUUCCCUGUCCGUGGACUUCCUCUGUUCAAAUGAUGGCAGCACUCGUGAGAUCUGUGAUUGAUGGCGUCACGUACCUGUACAUGCUGAAGACUGUGUUGCCAUUGUGCAUAAGGUACACGUACACUUCCUCCACAUCCUCAUGCUUCAUCAUGCUGAAGGUGAAGAAGUACACACCUGGAAAGGACAAGGAUUUACUCAUUCACUCAUACACUGAAGAUGAGUCAGGUUUUGAACUACUAGCUAUACAAGAGAAGAAAACAGAAAUAUCUACAAGAAAAAACUAAAGAAGCAAUGGGCCAUUCAUGUUUCUUUUCUAUAAAGAUAUCAGCUAUGAAGAUCCUUCUGAUGUUGAGUCACAAAAGAACAAUUAUGCUUUGUUACGUGUCGGGGAUGCAUAUUUGAUAGCAAUCAGUGAUGCCCAUUCCAAUACCUAGAGACUGGUUCAUAGAUGAAAAGCAAAGACAUAAAAAUUAAAGGAUUUCAAGAGUUA